rnacentral:rRNA from 1 species
GAGAGCAAGAGCCCGGAGAGGAACCGAGACAAGGCCAGGCCCACGGGGCGCAGCAGGCGCGAAACCCCGCAAGGAGAAACGCGACGGGGGGACCCAAGGCACAACGGGGAGCCCAGGAAAGAGCGGAAAAGAGCGGGCAAGACCGGGCCAGCCGCCGCGGAACACCGGCAGCCAGGGAGCGAGGGCCGAAGCGCGAGCCGGGAAGCCGGGAAACGAGCAACGGGGAAGCGGAGAACAAGGCGAGACGGGAGAGGCAGAGGACCCGGGGAGGGGAAACCGAACCAGGAGGACCACCGGGCGAAGGCGCGACAGAACGACGACGGGAGGAACGAAAGCAGGGGCGCGAACCGGAAGAACCCGGGAGCCAGCCGAAACAGCGGACGGGGAGGGGGCGAGCCGCCGGGCCGAAGGGAAGCGAAGCCGCCGCCGGGAAGACGGCGCAAGACGAAACAAA